rnacentral:rRNA from 1 species
CAUGCCGUAAACGAUGAUUACUAGGUGUUGGAGGAUUGACCCCUUCAGUGCCGCAGUUAACACAAUAAGUAAUCCACCUGGGGAGUACGACCGCAAGGUUGAAACUCAAAGGAAUUGACGGGGGCCCGCACAAGCAGUGGAGUAUGUGGUUUAAUUCGAAGCAACGCGAAGAACCUUACCAGGUCUUGACAUCCGAUGCAUAGUGCAGAGAUGCAUGAAGUCCUUCGGGACAUCGAGACAGGUGG